rnacentral:rRNA from 1 species
UACGGAGGGUGCAAGCGUUAAUCGGAAUUACUGGGCGUAAAGCGUGCGUAGGCGGUUCGUUAAGUCUGCUGUGAAAGCCCCGGGCUCAACCUGGGAAUGGCAGUGGAUACUGGCGAGCUAGAGUGUGAUAGAGGAUGGUGGAAUUCCCGGUGUAGCGGUGAAAUGCGUAGAGAUCGGGAGGAACAUCAGUGGCGAAGGCGGCCAUCUGGAUCAACACUGACGCUGAGGCACGAAAGCGUGGGGAGCAAACAGGAUUAGAUACCCUGGUAGUCCACGCCCUAAACGAUGCGAACUGGAUGUUGGUCUCAACUCGGAGAUCAGUGUCGAAGCUAACGCGUUAAGUUCGCCGCCUGGGGAGUACGGUCGCAAGACUGAA